rnacentral:rRNA from 1 species
UCGGGUUGUAAAGCACUUUUGUCCGGAAAGAAAUCCUUGAUCCUAAUAUGGUCGGGGGAUGACGGUACCGGAAGAAUAAGCACCGGCUAACUACGUGCCAGCAGCCGCGGUAAUACGUAGGGUGCGAGCGUUAAUCGGAAUUACUGGGCGUAAAGCGUGCGCAGGCGGUUCGCUAAGACCGAUGUGAAAUCCCCGGGCUUAACCUGGGAACUGCAUUGGUGACUGGCGAGCUAGAGUGUGGCAGAGGGGGGUAGAAUUUCCACGUGUAGCAGUGAAAUGCGUAGAGAUGUGGAGGAAUACCGAUGGCGAAGGCAGCCCCUGGGCUAACACUGACGCUCAUGCACGAAAGCGUGGGGAGCAAACAGGAUUAGAUACCCUGGUAGUCCACGCCCUAAACGAUGUCAACUAGUUGUUGGGGAUUCAUUUCCUUAGUAACGUAGCUAACGCGUGAAGUUGACCGCCUGGGGAGUACGGUCGCAAGAUUAAAACUCGAAGGAAUUGACGGGGACCCACACAAGCGGUGGAUGAUGUGGAUUAAUUCGAUGCAACGCGAAGAACCUUACCUACCCUUGACAUGGACGGAAUCUUGCUG